AGAGUUUGAUCCUGGCUCAGAACGAACGCUGGCGGCGCGUUUUAAGCAUGCAAGUCGAACGGUAGACCGGACUUCGGUUUGGUUGAGAGUGGCGAACGGGUGAGUAACACGUAGGUAAUCUAUCUUUGGGAUAGGGAUAGCUCAUGGAAACAUGGGGUAAAACCUGAUAAGGUACGUUGGCUGAGAAGCCUGUGUAUGAAAGGUGCUACGGCACCGACUGGAGAUGAGCCUGCGGUCCAUUAGUUAGUUGGUGGGGUAAAGGCCUACCAAGGCGACGAUGGAUAGCCGGCCUGAGAGGGUGUACGGUCACACUGGGACUGAGACACGGCCCAGACUCCUACGGGAGGCAGCAGCUAAGAAUCUUCCGCAAUGGGCGAAAGCCUGACGGAGCGACGCCGCGUGAGCGAAGAAGGCCGAGAGGUUGUAAAGCUCUUUUCUUGCUGAAGAAUAAGGUACGGAGGGAAUGCCGUACUGAUGACGUUAGGCGAGGAAUAAGCCCCGGCUAAUUACGUGCCAGCAGCCGCGGUAAUACGUAAGGGGCGAGCGUUGUUCGGAAUUAUUGGGCGUAAAGAGCGUGUAGGCGGUUUUGCAAGCCUGGUGUUAAAGGUUCUGGCUCAACCAGAGAGGUGCGCUGGGAACUGCAAGACUCGAGUUCAGAGGGGGAAGCUGGAAUUCCUGGUGUAGGGGUGAAAUCUGUAGAUAUCAGGAAGAACACCGGUGGCGAAGGCGAGCUUCUAUUCAUGGACUGACGCUGAGACGCGAAAGCGUGGGGAGCGAACAGGAUUAGAUACCCUGGUAGUCCACGCUGUAAACGUUGUGCACUAGGCGUAGGGUGAGUGAAGUAUUCUGUGCCGAAGCGAACGCGUUAAGUGCACCGCCUGGGGAGUAUGCUCGCAAGGGUGAAACUCAAAGGAAUUGACGGGGGCCCGCACAAGCGGUGGAGCAUGUGGUUUAAUUCGAGGAUACGCGAGGAACCUUACCAGGGUUUGACAUGUGCAUGGAGGUCCAAGAGAUUGGGCCGGCCUCUUUGAGGACGUGCACACAGGUGCUGCAUGGCUGUCGUCAGCUCGUGUCGUGAGAUGUUGGGUUAAGUCCCGCAACGAGCGCAACCCCUACUGUCUGUUGCCAUCAGGUUAUGCUGGGCACUCGGACGGAACUGCCGGUGACAAACCGGAGGAAGGUGGGGACGACGUCAAGUCAUCAUGGCCCUUAUGUCCUGGGCUACACACGUGCUACAAUGGUCGGUACAGCGCGAAGCGAAACGGCGACGUUAGAGCAAAUCGCGAAAAGCCGAUCUCAGUUCGGAUUGGAGUCUGAAACUCGACUCCAUGAAGGUGGAAUCGCUAGUAAUCGCGCAUCAGCAUGACGCGGUGAAUACGUUCCCGGGCCUUGUACACACCGCCCGUCACACCACCCGAGUUGGGGGUACCCGAAGUCGCUAGUCUAACCUGAAUAAGGAUGACGGCGCCGAAGGUAUGCCUGGUGAGGGGGGUGAAGUCGUAACAAGGUA
rnacentral:rRNA from 1 species